CAUGACAGCAAUGAUUUGUUCGGGAACUGUUCCUGUUUGUAAUCCAGUUGUGGAACAGAAGACAUUGUGCAUGACUUACAGGUUGAGAACAAAUUAACCAAUCAACCUCCACUUCAAUCAACUCUUCUGUGAUUAAGGUUACCCCGUCUUGGACAUCCUGGGGUUCCUUACUUAUGGGUUCCUGCUUGACUGGAGGUAUUCCAUGGGCCAAGGCUUAUUGCAUGAAGCUGAUUCUCAACUGGAUUGUUCUAUCAGGAACCAGAAUGCCGGAAAUGGGAAGACCAGACUACAGCCAGCAAGGGCUGUUGGAGAACACUAGCCGUGGGAGAGCAAGGAAAUCAUUUUAAGGGGGAUGGGCUGAGGCAUUUUCAGGAGGGCUAUGAGAACAGCAGGACCAAAUCUUUCAUCGGGAGAUGGUAAUGGUAUUACCUGGAAAAUGACUGGGGCAACCUUGGGGAUUGA